AAGCUUAUUUAGAUAUACAUUAUCACAAGCUUCCUUGAGCCUCUUCACUUUGACUCUCUGGAUUCAACUACAUCUUCAGGCCCUUGCUCCCUGCAUUUUGCAGCAUGAAUUGAAACCGAUUGGUUGACAUUGUUUCCAGACAUUUUCACCAAAAUAUACUGUUAGUGAUGGUAGAUUAUACUUACUAGAGAUAGCCUUUUUCCUUGCAGCACUUAAUAGCUCCAUCAAGCAUUUCUUCAACCCCAUAUUGAAAUUUGAAUCCUGUAUCCAUGAGUUUCUUUGAUGACAAACCAGGUACUUUCAUACCUUGGACUUCUGCUAAGGAA
rnacentral:lncRNA from 1 species